UCAUCGAUCUUCUCCGCUCCGCGGUGCCCGUCCUCGCUUCACUGCUGCCAAAUCCGAAUGAGCUCAGCAGGAUCCGCAGCAUCCCGCGCAACGCCUAGCCGUUGUGCUUCACCUGGCAAUGGCCUCCUUCCGGUUCCGUUCGUCGCCGAUGGCGAGCACGCAUCAAAUUUCCAUGCCUUUUCCAGCCCUGCUGAUGGCGAGUUGCUCCCCAACCGAAGGAACGGGUCGAGGCCGUGGGAUCCAACCAACAAGCGUCCUUCGGCCGCAUCACCUUGCCACCUCCGCCACCUGGUCGCCCUCGAGCUGGCCCCCACUCCUCCAGCAAAAUCCCCUCCCCAAGGAGGACCAAGCCCCACCCCCCCACCCCGCACGCCUCUGCAUCCCCAAAACUAGAGACUGAAAUCAAGGGAUUUGAUCCCUGUGUGAUAGGGAAAAAGGAGAGGAAUAGCAGCAGGAAAGAGAAGGGAUUUUUGUUCCAGUAGGAAAGAUAAUCCUCACUCGUCGAUAAAGAGCAAGCUGGAGAUGGAACAUGGGAAUUGGGGGAAAAACAGAUCCAUGUGUUUGGCCAAUGCUAGCUUGGUGUGCGCCUCGUGGUUGAGAGAGAAGGAGGACCUUUGCAGGGUGAUCAAAGGAUGUGCUCGGUCUCUGUUGGUCCAAAUCUCAGCUCCUUCCUUGGUGCCACGCUUUGGUGGCUUUCGCUGCUCGGCAUCCCCCGUCCUAACUCUCCGUCCGCAUCCUUCCGCCAGAGAUGCACCAACUACUUUGAGGUGCAAAACAGAGCAGCGCUCCCACAAUUUUUUAUCAGAUCCAUAUCUUUUUUUGGGGGGGGGGGGGGGGGGGGGGGGGCGUAUUGACUUCGCCACAUAUUAUUCUGUCAUGCAGGUCCGCAUCCCGGCGACAUCUUCUUUGCACCACUUCACAGACAAUAACCUCCGCUGCUACACUCUUAGAAUUGCAUGUGUAGGUUGAUUGCUUGACUUGUACUAGUUGCUAAAAUCCGCUAACAAUUAAAAUUGGGAAAAUGUUAGAUUUUUAUUUUGUCAAGUAGUCUAAUCACCCCCCCCCCCCCCCCCCUCUAGACCUACUUUCGAUCCUACAAAGAACAAUUUGAUUUGGAAGUUAGAAGCAAUGAAAUUGUAAAACCAAAGCAACAUUGGUUAGGGUUCCUAGGAGCCGCGCUAGCUUUUUCCUACAUAAAAGUAUGAUUUGAACUAAGAAAUCAGUUUAGUUUGUGGGUUUGAAGUACCACAUAUAAGCUUGGUCCAUGUGAAUUGGCACACUGUUUGGAACAAAAUAAAACUUAGCAGUACAGUUUGGUAGUUAAAAUACUCCUUACCUCGACAUUCUGAUAAUAUGUAAUAAUGAUAGUUGGCAUUGGUCAUGCAAGAUCACUUGGAAAUUGGUGGCUUGGUUCUGUUGUACUCCCUCCGUCUGAAAAUACUUGUCAUCGAAAUGGAUAGAAAAGGAUGUAUCUAAAACUAAAAUACAUCUAGAUACAUCCCCUUUUAUUCAUUUUGAUGACAAGUAUUUCCGGACGGAGGAAUACUUUACAAUUUGUAUUACUUCAGCCUUGAUUAGCUCCAGGAGGCCGUGCUCCCUGAUGGAUUUGUUGUCGAAGAUGCUCAAGUAAUGGACUGAUGAUAUAACUGACAUUUCAUAACAUCUCCUCCAUGCAUGCAUGGUUUGCUCCCUUUUGCCAUAUUUUAAAUACUCAUCUUAUAUAUCUUUGUGAUCUGAGCCCUUAGAGAAACUAGAUUCCGAUCUUCUGGUCUUGCCUACGAAUGUUUUUUUCAAAGUGGUUCAGUUCCAGUCCAUACAGAUUAGUCAUAUUAUGAGUUGCAGGAACCUUUCUUUAGUUUUAGCAUAUGUGCAGUUCUGUUUUCUUGCGAUGUGAACACUAAUGAACAGAAAAACCUUAUGCCGCAUUAUUAUUUACAUGCAUGAAGUCUUUAAAGUUAGUUUUCUGUUAUAAAAUCAUUUGUCAGCGACUGAAUCAAAGGGAAAUUUAUGAAAAGUGAACCAACAGAGAAACUGUAGUAAUUCCAAGCUAAUUUUAUAAAUUCACCCCAGUGAACUUCUGUGUAAAUUGUCCUUUUAUUCCCAUAUCUUGGAAUAUAAAUGAUGAACCUCAAAUUUUUUUUCAUCGUUGUUUUGUAUGGUGGCCAUGGCUACAUAAGAACGAUAGUAUACAUCAAUUUGUGUUGAUGUAUGAAGGUAAACUGUCAAAAUUUAUCCUUGCUUAUUAUACUUAUCUUCACAAUAGAUAUAUGGAGAUCGCGGUUAGUUAUUUAGCUCUUCCGCAGCCCAGCUGCAAUUCCUAAACGUUGGGGCAGACACUCAAAAGCGCCUCCUAGAGCAGUAGAGAUGUCGUCUCUGCCACGUUAACACAUUAAUCGGUGGAUCUGAAUGUGUAGAUUUGCAGCCUUCAAAUUUAGAACUAGCAGAUUUUUGCUUCUACUGUUACUUACAAAGAAUAUUAUCUCAUGUGCCUAACUUAUAUAUACAUAAUUUCUAGACUUCCAUGAUGUGCCUAACUUAAAUGUGGCAGAUAUCAGCAUGCUGUUAUCAGAACGCUACUGUUGCAUCAUCACAACACAAGAUUUCCAUGAUAUUCAUGGGCAAACUACUUUUAAUACGAGUCCCUCUCUUAUCAUGCAUCCAUUGGUUCGUGUAACCUUUUUACCGGUUCACUAUAUACAUGCAGGAAUCUGGAUUAUGUAGACUAUGGUAAAGUGGGUUUUAUCGGGUUAGUGUAUCUCAUACAUUAAACACUUCUCCCAACAGUAGGCAUUCAAGCUCUCUUUCAUAUGCUUCUUCAUCCUACUUUGGCUGCCUAAUAGCCUUCUGAUAUAGGAACACAUUAAAAACGAUACUGGACAUUGUUCGUGACCAGUGAAAAAAUUAUUCUGCCUAUUUCAUCUCACAUGUGUGCCUUACAUCUGUAUGUGUAUAUUCUUUGUUUCUUUUCUGUAGUGAUCUUCAUCCUUUUUGCUAUCCAUCCAGAACUGAUACAUUUUAGUUUAUCCUGCCAUUUUACUAGCUAGAGACACAAAAAUCUUUGGUGGAGCAAGUCAUACGAAAAAUAUGAAAUUUUGUUGUUGUAGUUAGGUGGCGAUCAUUCAUAGGAUUGUUUCUUACUGAUAAUGACAUGCUAAUUCAUCUUUUAUUUCUGUUUUAAGUAACUAACUCUACAGAUUAGCGUACAUGUUAUUUAAAAACAAGGGGUUUGCCAUGAUACAACAUAUUUCUGAGUAAUUUUAUCUAUUGUACUUAGUAUUUUGAUUGAAACAUGAAUAUUUUCCUCAAACAUAUUGUUUCGUAGUCACCGGGCACGAUAAUGGAACUUCAACUCAAUGAAAAAUGCAAGAGAGAGCAC